rnacentral:rRNA from 1 species
GAUGAACGCUGGCGGCGUGCCUAAUACAUGCAAGUCGAGCGAACGGACGAGAAGCUUGCUUCUCUGAUGUUAGCGGCGGACGGGUGAGUAACACGUGGAUAACCUACCUAUAAGACUGGGAUAACUUCGGGAAACCGGAGCUAAUACCGGAUGAUAUUUUGAACCGCAUGGUUCAAAAGUGAAAGACGGUCUUGCUGUCACUUAUAGAUGGAUCCGCGCUGCAUUAGCUAGUUGGUAAGGUAACGGCUUACCAAGGCAACGAUGCAUAGCCGACCUGAGAGGGUGAUCGGCCACACUGGAACUGAGACACGGUCCAGACUCCUACGGGAGGCAGCAGUAGGGAAUCUUCCGCAAUGGGCGAAAGCCUGACGGAGCAACGCCGCGUGAGCGAUGAAGGUCUUCGGAUCGUAAAACUCUGUUUUUAGGGAAGAACAUAUGUGUAAGUAACUGUGCACAUCUUGACGGUACCUAAUCAGAAAGCCACGGCUAACUACGUG